rnacentral:tmRNA from 1 species
GGGGAUGAACGGCUUCGACGGGGCAUUGUCAGGCCUGAGACUGCAAGCCGUAGAGCGUCGACUACGUUAAAAAGGCGCAAAACAUACAAAUGCCAAGAACACAGGCAUGGCUUUUAACUUUGGCUUCACCCCGGCCGCUUCCGCGGCUGUGGCUGCCUAAGUAAGCCACCGGCCCUUUACGAAGGGCCACGGCCCGUCCCGGUGGGGCCAGCAGGCCGGGCGGUCGCCGUCAUACACUGUGAGCUGCAGCAGCGGUACGCCGAUAGCGUUGCCUAAGUGAAUCGGCUAACCGGAGAAGCGUCUCGCGUCGAUCCGAGGCCCGCCGGUGAAUCUCUUGAAGGUCGACUAUGCUUGUAGACGUUUCAGGGCGAAUGUUGCGGACGCGGGUUCGAUUCCCGCCAUCUCCACCA